GUCAUCCUAGGGCACGCUCUGCCUCUGAGGCUUGCCAGCUGGGCUCCCCGAGCCGGGGUGCCUGUCUGCGUCCCCCCUUCCCCAGGCAGGCAGGACCCCGGGCGGGGGUGGUGGCAGGGCCCACCCCUGUUCCUGGAGAGAGGCACCAUGCCAGGCGGCCCAGAGCCCCCUGGGCAGGAGAGCCGGACUGUCCAGACAGGAGGAGCCUGGGGACAGCGGGGCCGCCGCAGAGGCUGGGAGGGGCUGGCUCUGGCGGCAGCCGUGUCACUAACGCCUUCCUUGUCCUCAUCAGCGGUUCGUUCUUUAAAACCAGUACGUACACGUGUUUUCUCAGUCCGGCAGUGCCAAAGGCUGUAUGCGAGCCGUGAGCCUCCCGUUCACCAGCGGGGGGCCUUGGGCCCCCUGCCCUGCACCCCGCCGUGCCCAGGCCCCCCCGGAGCCUGUGGGGUGUGUGUCCCUCUGCCCACACCACAGGGACAGCUCCCGUCUGCGCCUGCAGCCAGCCCCGGCCCCGGGUUACUUCGAGGUCUGCUGAACGAGCGCAAGGAGUCUCUGCACAGGAGGUCGGAGCGCGUCUGCCCGCCUGGCCAAGGGGGCUGAGCCUCCAAAUCCCUCCUGGCCCGACAGCGACCACGGCGAAGGGGCUACCGUGCCAGGUUAAAAAUAGCCCCAAGCCUGAGCGCCGAGAAGCCACCGCCAGAGAGCAGGGCUCAGCCGCUCUGCCCGCUCAGGGAGAACCAGCGAGAACCAGGGAGAAGGUUCCCGGCCACCCGCCGCGCGCCUUCGCUCGCACCCCGCUCAGACCGGGGCCAGGAGCCACCCCAGGCCACGUCCCAGGCCGGGCUUGCAGCCACGCCCCCGCCGCCCCUGCACGGAAGGGCCAGAGAAGCACAGCGAAGUCCUCAAGGGAAGGAUGACCAGAGCCCGGGAGGGGCAGGGGAGUGGCCGCCCUCUGCUGCGGGAGCUGCGGCCCUGCGCCCCGCCCUUCCAUCCUCCUCAAGGUCACAACCAGUUCCGGGCCAGUGUGGCCUGCAACCCAGGUAGCCGCCAGCUCUCCCACUCAACGGCGGCCAUCACCCCGAUGGCGGUCCGGGAGGAGCCAGGC